AACACCAUUUGUUUUUGUUAUUCUUUGGUGUGCGUAGAGAGAUCUAACUGCCGCGAAAUGCAAAUGUGAGUUUAGGAAACUGUAACAUCCAAUUAAUGAGGGUUAAAGCUCGUAAGUUUCGUAUGGACUGUGUAAACUCGAAUUGAAAUCAAAAUGAUACGCAGCCCAUGAAUAAAUGGUAAUCCGUGGUUUUUGUUUAAACAGGAACAGCAAUGACUAUGAUCUCUUCACUUGCAAUACAUCAUCCACUUUUAACCAUACCUGAGGAAGACCAAUCAGCAUGCAGUGAAUGUUCUGUUCCAUCCGACUGUGAUUGUUUUACAGAUGCUCAAAAAUCAAAUGAGAAAAAAAUUACUUAUCAGAACAACAGUAAUAAUGUCAUAGGGGAAAACAAAAGACUUUUGUUGCCUGGUACUAGAAAGACAUUGUCAAACAGAAAAAAUAACAAGUAUGAUGAAACUAAAGAUAGUAUUUUUGCUUGGAGGUUAAUGACCAUUAGAGAAAAAUUAGAGGUUACCCUUUUAAAUGUAUAUCUGUCCAUAAGCAAUAUACCAGAACCAGAUGGACUGCAGGAUUUCAUAAGACGACGUCAAAGAGCAGCGGAGUUUACAUCAAGAUUCUGCAGAAAUUAUCUGUAUCAGUUUCAUCGCCAGGUGCUGGCUCUGCAACAUCGACUAAGGGAGAAGUCUUGCUGUGGUCUUCAUUAUAUUUAUAAAGCAUCAAUGUGCCAGAAACUUUUAAAUGCUUAUGAACUGGCACACCUGGCACUGCAGGCAGUUUUGAACCACAUCCCAACUUCAGUAUUAAUGUGCAUACCAAAGAAACUAAGGGAAUUUUUGAAAUUAAUUAUUGAACUUACUGAAAUUUCCUCAAAAUCAGGCGUGAUAUCUUGUGGAAGUGAAGACUCUGGUGAUGAGAUUGCAAAAUAUUGCAGAGAUUUAUUGAUGCUUAUACCUGACUCAAGUGAAAGUUUAAGCAUGCAGAAUGAAACUGAUAACAGAAUAUAUGAUAAAAAAACAUUUAGGAACUGUGGAAAAUUUCCUUUGGUGAGCAGAUUCUCUAUGUACAAUGAAAACUCAGCCAUGAAAAGAAAGUCCACAGUAAUGAGAUCUGUUUCAAGUACAAAGAAAUCAGAAGCUUCAGGAAGGGAAAGCAAAACUUCAUUGGAAAGUAAUCAGAGCAGUCACAAGAACAGCCAUUUAUCUCGAUUUAAUGAGACAUCAGUGACAAGACCAAAACCCACAAAAAAUUGUACACGGAAGAAGAAAGAGGAGCACAGCAAACUAGUAGGAAGAGUGUCAGAGAAGAAUCAUGUGCAUACUCCUUUCAAUAUGGACAAUGUCACAACAGUAAUUGAAACAAUAUCUUCAGCUAAAAGUGAGGAAAACUUCACAGAUGAGCAUAACCCAGGACUUAAUGAAAAUAUAACCAUAUCUUCAGAACAAAAUACAGAACCAAUAAGUAAUACUGCAACCACAAAUUGUCAAAAUAAACUCCAUAACAAAGUGGAAUUUCAGACAAGGAGUAAUGUGAAGCUGAUAAUUCUCCCUCCAUUUGAAGAAUCAGACAAAAUUUCUGGGGGAAGAACUGAAGGGUAUACACCCUCACAGGCAUCUAGGCAUACAGAAAAAGAGUUUGGGAAUAAUGUUUGCAAUGUUUUGAUUGAUUCAGGGCCUGUCCAAAAUAUUCAAGAUGAUCAGGUGAUGUUUCCAGUUGAGCAUACCCGUCAAUCUCCCAUGAAAGAUUAUUCACAGGAUGUCUCUUUGCCACUGCGAAGUUCAUUUGAACCUUUGCACUUGGAGAAAAUGGUAACAUAUACAAAAGGCUGUAACCAUACACACGAUACUGGACCUAAGCCUUUGAAAGAGACAUUCACUACAGAUGUUACUGAACUGGAAGGAAAGAAAUCUGUUAUGUUAGAUCCACCAGAUAACACAUUAAAUUUGGAGAAAAUGACAACGUACACAAAUGAAAAUGACUCUUAUUUGCUAGGACCAACUACUGUAUCAGGUCAAGGCUCCAGCCCCAAGCAUUUAAACAGUAUGUCCGAACCAGAGACUCAUGCAGAGCAUCAAGGAAAUGGGUCUGAGCCGUCAGACACAAUAAAUAAAAUUAAUACAGAGAUUACUCAAAAUGUAGUGUCACUGAAAAUACCUGCAGCAGAAUUAGAAUGUAUACUGGACCACAAAAGAAGAUUUAUGCAAUAUAUGAACAAUAAUCCUCUCUACAUGAAUUCAGCCAAACCUUGGGUAAUUGUGUCGAGGUUGGCAGAUACUUUGAUUUCUGAUGUAAUGCUUGAAAUUAUGAGUGAAAUUGAACUUGAAACUGAUAAAACGGUAACACAGAUGUUUCAUUUGGAACUCCAGUGAAGCACCCUUUGAUUGUCUGUAAGACCUGAAUUUCAAGGUUUUGUUCUGCCACAGCAUUGCAGUUUUAAUGUGAAUUGCAAUAAAACUAUUUUCAUGAUAAUAACAGUGAUAAUUGGAUGCCGUGAAGAACACUAGAUUGCAGACUCAGCUGUUAGAAAUAAAAUACGUAAACGAUUGGACACUGAUGAGAUGCGACGGUUGCGUCACCGAACCAAUCCCUUCCAACUAAACAGGCUGAAGAUGUCAAAGCUUUUUUGAUUU